CUCGUAGGCCGCUUGGUAAGUCGGGUGUGAAAUUUCGAGGCUCAACCUCGAAACGCCAUCCGAUACUGCUAUGGCUAGAGUCCGGUAGAGGAGUGUGGAAUUCCUGGUGUAGCGGUGAAAUGCGCAGAUAUCAGGAGGAACACCAACGGCGAAGGCAGCACUCUGGGCCGGUACUGACGCUGAGGAGCGAAAGCGUGGGGAGCAAACAGGAUUAGAUACCCUGGUAGUCC
rnacentral:rRNA from 1 species